AAAUUUAGGUUAACUAUAAACCAAGGACCUUCAAAGCCCUAAAUAGGUCCCCCCCUAAUUUCUG
rnacentral:tRNA from 1 species